AUGCAUGUCUCAGUACAAGCCAAAUUAAGGUGAAACCGCGAAAGGCUCAUUAAAUCAGUUAUGGUUCCUUAGAUCGUACCCACAUUUACUUGGAUAACUGUGGUAAUUCUAGAGCUAAUACAUGCAAACAGAGCUCCAACCGGAAACGGAAGGAGCGCUUUUAUUAGAUCAAAACCAAUCGGUGGCGGGUUCGCUCGUCAUCGUACAAUUUGGUGACUCUGAAUAACUUUACGCUGAUCGCACGGUCUAGCACCGGCGACGCAUCUUUCAAAUGUCUGCCUUAUCAACUGUCGAUGGUAGGUUCUGCGCCUACCAUGGUUGUAACGGGUAACGGGGAAUCAGGGUUCGAUUCCGGAGAGGGAGCCUGAGAAACGGCUACCACAUCCAAGGAAGGCAGCAGGCGCGCAAAUUACCCACUCCCGGCACGGGGAGGUAGUGACGAAAAAUAACGAUACGGGACUCAUCCGAGGCCCCGUAAUCGGAAUGAGUACACUCUAAACCCUUUAACGAGGAUCAAUUGGAGGGCAAGUCUGGUGCCAGCAGCCGCGGUAAUUCCAGCUCCAAUAGCGUAUAUUAAAGUUGUUGCGGUUAAAAAGCUCGUAGUCGAAUCUGUGUCCCGCGCCGCCGGUUCAUCGUUCGCGGUGUUAACUGGCGUGCCGCGGGACGUCCUGCCGGUGGGCUUAGCUCGCAAGGGCGGCCCAACACAAUCCCGCCGCGGUGCUCUUUAUCGAGUGUCGAGGUGGGCCGGCACGUUUACUUUGAACAAAUUAGAGUGCUUAAAGCAGGCCAAAACUUCGCCUGAAUACUGUGUGCAUGGAAUAAUGGAAUAGGACCUCGGUUCUAUUUUGUUGGUUUUCGGAACCCCGAGGUAAUGAUUAAUAGGAACGGAUGGGGGCAUUCGUAUUGCGACGUUAGAGGUGAAAUUCUUGGAUCGUCGCAAGACGGACAGAAGCGAAAGCAUUUGCCAAAAACGUUUUCAUUGAUCAAGAACGAAAGUUAGAGGUUCGAAGGCGAUCAGAUACCGCCCUAGUUCUAACCAUAAACGAUGCCAGCUAGCGAUCCGCCGACGUUCCUCCGAUGACUCGGCGGGCAGCUUCCGGGAAACCAAAGCUUUUGGGUUCCGGGGGAAGUAUGGUUGCAAAGCUGAAACUUAAAGGAAUUGACGGAAGGGCACCACCAGGAGUGGAGCCUGCGGCUUAAUUUGACUCAACACGGGAAACCUCACCAGGCCCGGACACCGGAAGGAUUGACAGAUUGAGAGCUCUUUCUUGAUUCGGUGGGUGGUGGUGCAUGGCCGUUCUUAGUUGGUGGAGCGAUUUGUCUGGUUAAUUCCGAUAACGAACGAGACUCUAGCCUGUUAACUAGGCGUAUUAGACAUCCCAAAGGCCCGCGAGCUCAGGGUUCGCCUUGAGUCUUGCGCGGUUUUUACUGUCUGCGUACAUACAAUUCUUCUUAGAGGGACAGGCGGCAUUUAGCCGCACGAGAUUGAGCAAUAACAGGUCUGUGAUGCCCUUAGAUGUUCUGGGCCGCACGCGCGCUACACUGAAGGAAUCAGCGUGUCCUCCCUGGCCGAGCGGCCCGGGUAACCCGCUGAACCUCCUUCGUGCUAGGGAUUGGGGCUUGCAAUUGUUCCCCAUGAACGAGGAAUUCCCAGUAAGCGCGAGUCAUAAGCUCGCGUUGAUUACGUCCCUGCCCUUUGUACACACCGCCCGUCGCUACUACCGAUUGAAUGAUUUAGUGAGGUCUUCGGACCGGUACGCGGUGGCGUUUCGACGUCGCCGAUGUUGCUGGGAAGAUGACCAAACUUGAUCAUUUAGAGGAAGUAAAAGUC
rnacentral:rRNA from 1 species